GCGAGGAUGGCGGAACUGGCAGACGCGCUGGAUUUAGGUUCCAGUACCAGAAGGUGUGGGGGUUCGAAUCCCCCUCCUCGCA
rnacentral:tRNA from 1 species